AAAUGGAUAACUUGUUUGAUAAUUCAUUGAAUAUAAAUUCAUGUUUUUAUUAUCUCAUAAUUCUCAACAACUUCACCUUCAAGACACACACAGUAUCUUCAACCCCUUCAAGAUUCAAACUUUGAUUCCAAUUAGCGAUUUCAACAACACCCAGAAACGAUUUCAACUCAAUCAAGCAAUCUUUUCACCAUUUAAAAAUCUGGGUCACCAUGAAUAUCAAGAGCAAGGAAGAUUUCUGGGUAUUUUACAUGAACCAUCAUUCAAAGCCAUCAACUAGGAAAUGGCACUUCAUAGGAACACUUAUGAGCAUAAUCUUCUUUCUCUGUUCAAUAAUCUUCACUUGGUGGUUUUUGUUUCUUGUUCCUUUAUCUGCUUAUGGAUUUUCUAUGUAUAGUCAUUUGUUCAUUGAAGGGAGUUUUCCUGUGACUAUUGGAUACCCCUUUUGGUCUCUUUAUUGCGAUUUUAAGCUGUUUUGGUUUAUGAUUACUGGAAAAAUGGAUAGAGAGAUGAAAAGACUUGGAAAGAGACCUGUGUUGCAACUUUUCUGAAUUUUUUAUGCAAGUUUUCUGCAACUUUAGCUUUGAAUUCAGUUGAGAUUUUUAUGUUCAUUUUCUUGAUUUUUCUAUAACAAUUUCUAGGAUAAUAAAUAAUACAGAAUAUGACUGAUUCUAUUUUGUUCUUGUAGGGGCAAUACGUAUGCAGUUUUGGACAUGAUUUGCUACUGGUGAAGAUUAUUCUUUGUAUUAAGAUACCAAUCUUUGAUAAAGAUAGGCUAUGUGAGAUGAUAUAUAAAAAGAAAUCAUACUAGUGAUAUAAUCUAUAGAUACACAUUCAAAGUACUUAGCUAUUGGUCGAUUGUUGGCUGUAACUAUAAUGUUCUUUGAUCAUCAAAGUUUGUUGCUAACUUGUGUAGUAGUUACAAAUUGUUUUCUUAGUUUGUUUUAACUUUAAUGAUUUUAAAAACUUAUAUUUUUAUCAUUGGGUAGAAUAAUUUAUAUAAUUUGAUAAAAAAUUAUAAAUGACACUUAUUAUAGAAAUUUAUUCUAAUUUUUAUAUAAUUUUAGAUGAAGUUUU
rnacentral:lncRNA from 1 species